GGGGGGGGGGCAUAGAGUGAUAACCAGCUCCUACUGUGUUUCACCUGAUAGAGAAGUUGGGACCAACCUGAGAUACAGCAGAAAGGAGGAGGACUACAAAGCCUCUGAGAUUGGCAGCAUUGAAAAAUGGGAGAAAACUGAGUUCCUGAGUCCUUGCCUGGAAGAAAGCCAACUACUGACUGGGACCAUUCUCGCUGGAUUAUUAUGUUUGGCACAUGGGCAUCUAAGGAGAUGACAUGUACAAACAGGAGAUACAAAUAGGAGAUGACACUUUCACCUCAACCACUACAGCCCCAGAAGGAACCCAAGGUGGCCCCCUGGACCUUUUCCUGAAGCAACAUUGGGAGAAGCAAGCUGUCUUCAGAGAGAUAUAAGUAUAGCUUUUAUUUUUUUUUUUUAAAACCAACCCAACAUUUCCACUGGCAACUGUCAACAUAGCUUAUGACAUGAACACAGUUUCUUUUUCAGUUAUUUGUUUUCUUAAAAAAUGUGUUUAAAAUUAAACAGGUGUUUUUCAUUUCUUCUUUUCCCUUAAAAAAUGUAUUUAUGUCAAUGCAGAAAGCCUAAAGAUCUGUGGGCAGUCUUUUGGUGAUUAUAUAUGUGUGUGUGUGUGUGUGUGUGUGUGUGUAUUUUAAAGCCAGGUUCUUUCAAAAUUUGUUGGGAAAAUGUCUGUAGGGCAUGGCGAUCUCUCUAUGAACCCAGGCUCCAUGGAAUUAUGGCAGCUAAGAUUCCUCAUACUGGGGCAGAAAUAGCCCACAGGCUGGAAAAAGAGCUUCAAGAGGUUUAAAACCAAGCAGGAAUGUGGGAGAGAUGAGGAAUUCCAAUCCCUGUCCUGUGAAAAUCUUUUCAAACAUGACCCAAGAGUCCAGGAGACGUGAAGCCCUCAUUUUCUUAUAAACUUCUAAGUUUUUGCAGGAAAUCAAGAAAUAGAGUCAAAGCUCUUAGUCUGGUGCACUAGGAAGUGAGGGAGUGGUGAAGCUGACAUCUCUCAGAAUCACUGACAUUUUCAAUAGAAUCUUUUCCCUACAGAUCCCACUAGGUGGACAUCACUUCUCUCCUGCUUCAGAUGCAAAGCCAGAGACGUUCUAGAAGGCAUAUAGCCCUUCUGCUUUCCUAGCUGCCCUCUGUCAUCAUAUUCUAUUUCUAUUUUUGUCCCCUAGCUCCUGCUCGGUGGGUCUUCUUGCAGAGGGGUAAACAUCCAGACACUGAUGCAAUGAGACAGACAGAAUCUGAAAGGCUAGGGCAGGGAAGAGAACAAGGACUUCUUGUUGUAAACUGGAUCUUGACAGAAGCUUGAGAUAAAGCUGUUCCUGCUCCAGCCACAGUCUCCAUUCUUACUGCCUUCGCGGAUGUGCGAACUCACCACCACCCAGACACCACAGUCCAUUCAAGAAGGCAGAAGAUAAAAGGAGAAAGGGAACAGGAACUCGAUGGAGCAGGAGACAGCGGUUACCCAGGGAGAGUCGGGGAAAGGGUGUGUCUGAAAGUUCAGGCCUCUGCCUGUCGGCUCAGAGCUUGAGCUCCUUCGCAGCACCGUCAUCACUAACCUCAGAGAGAAAAGACAAGGUGGACACAGAAACGAUGAGCAAAACCUGGUGGGAAAACGAAAGCAACCAUGAUACUGACGAUGAUGAACAGAGACCCUCGAGCCAGCCACGGGGACAGGACUCAUUUUCACGCCUCGCGGGCAGAGUGAGAGGAUGGUGAUGUGUCAAACUGGACAGACAGGAGAAACCCUGUCCCCCCGCCGAGGAAAGUUAGAAAGCCAAGGAAUAGUCAGAAGAAGGUGGAAGAGAAGGUGGCGAGAGGGUCUGACUUUGCUAUGGGUCAGGGACACGGCGGGAAGACAGGCUGGAGGUGGAUCUGUUGCUGUCGUUGGUGUGGAUUGAAUUAAAUAUUUUGCCAAGUG